UACAGAGACCACGAGCGUUGUUCGGAUUUACUGGGCGUAAAGGGCGCGUAGGUGGCCCCGCAUGUCGGACGUGAAAUGCCACGGCUCAACCGUGGAAGUGCAUCCGAAACUGUGGGGAUAGAGUGCAGGAUGGGAGAGCGGAAUUCUCGGUGUAGCGGUGAAAUGCGUUGAUAUCGAGAAGAACACCGGUGGCGAAGGCGGCUCUCUGGAAUGCAACUGACACUGAGGCACGAAAGCUGGGGGAGCAAACAGG
rnacentral:rRNA from 1 species